rnacentral:lncRNA from 1 species
UAAACAAGUCCAUGUUGUAUACAAAUGAUAUUUUACCAAGGCAGAUUUAUGUUGGAAGUGUUUUCUUUUAUUUACGCUCCCUCCCCCUAACAGAUUAAACAAGUCCAUGUUGUAUACAAAUGAUAUUUUACCAAGGCAUAUUUAUGUUGGAAGUGUUUUUUUUUCUUUACGCUCCCUCUCCCUAACAGAUUAAACAAGUCCAUGUUGUAUACAAAUGAUAUUUUACCAAGGCAUAUUUAGUUGGAAUGUUUUCUUUUAUUUACGCCUCCUCUCCCUAACAGAUUAAAAAGUCCAUGUUUAUACAAAUGAUAUGCUGUUACCAAGGCAUGUUUUAUGUUGGAAGUGUUUUCUUUUAUUUACGACCCCUCUCACCUAACGAGAUUAAACAAGUUCAUGUUGUAUACAAAUGAAUUUGACAAGCCAAUUUAUUUGGAAGUGUUUUCUUUAUUUACGCUCCCUCUCACCUAACAGAUUAAAACAAGCCAUGUUGUAACCAAAUGAUAUUUUACCAAGGCAUAUUUAUGUUGGAAGUGUUUUUCUUUUGAUUGUACGCCCUCUCCCUAACAGAUUUAAAACCCAAGUCCAUGUUUGUAUACAAAUGAUAUUUUACCAAGGCAUAUGUAUGUUGGAAGUGCUUUUCUUUAAUUUUCCCCGCUUCCCUAACAGAUUAAACAAGUCAUGUUGUAUACAAUAUUUUUACCAAGGCAUAUUUAUGUUUGAAGUGUUUCUUUUUUUACGCCCCCUCUCCCUACAGAUAAAAAACACGUCCAUGUUGUAUACAAGGAUAUUUUACCAAGGCAUAUUUAUGUUGGAAGUGUUUCUUUUAUUU